GAUGAACGCUGGCGGCGUGCCUAACACAUGCAAGUCGAGCGGCAGCGAGGGGUGCUUGCACCCUGUCGGCGAGCGGCGGACGGCUGAGUAACGCGUGGGAACGUGCCCCAAAGUGCGGAAUAACUGCCCGAAAGGGUAGCUAAUACCGCAUAUUAUCUUCGGAUCAAAGGAUUUAUCCGCUUUGGGAGCGGAUCGCGUCGGAUUAGGUAGUUGGUGAGGUAAUGGGUCAACAAGCCGACGAUCCGUAGCUGGUCUGAGAGGAUGCCCAGCCAGACUGGAACUGAGACACGGUCCAGACUCCUACGGGAGGCAGCAGUGAGGAAUCUUCCACAAUGGGCGAAAGCAUGAUGGAGCUACGCCGCGUGCAGGACGAAGGCCUGCGGGUUGUAAACUGCUUUUAUAAGUGAGGAAUAUGACGGUAACUAAUGAAUAAGGAUCGGCUAACUACGUG
rnacentral:rRNA from 1 species